CCAACAAAUUCCGUAGCGCUAUACAAUGGGUGGACUAACAGACAUAUAAUUGAGAUCAGACCACUGACGUACAGGAACAGAGGGGGUUGAGGACCCUGCUCGAUGAGCUUACAUGCUAGAGGGAGUGGGGUAUAUUGACACAAAGGGUUAAAGUAGGGGAAUUAAAUAGUUUGUUACAGAAGGGUUUAUUGAGUGCUUGGUAGGUCAUUUUUGACAGGU